rnacentral:rRNA from 1 species
AUUGAACGCUGGCGGCAGGCCUAACACAUGCAAGUCGAGCGGAUGAAGGGAGCUUGCUCCUGGAUUCAGCGGCGGACGGGUGAGUAAUGCCUAGGAAUCUGCCUGGUAGUGGGGGAUAACGUCCGGAAACGGGCGCUAAUACUGCAUACGUCCUGAGGGAGAAAGUGGGGGAUCUUCGGACCUCACGCUAUCAGAUGAGCCUAGGUCGGACUAGCUAGUUGGUGGGGUAAAGGCCUACCAAGGCGACGAUCCGUAACUGGUCUGAGAGGAUGAUCAGUCACACUGGAACUGAGACACGGUCCAGACUCCUACGGGAGGCAGCAGUGGGGAAUAUUGGACAAUGGGCGAAAGCAUGAUCCAGCCAUGCCGCGUGUGUGAAGAAGGUCUUCGGAUUGUAAAGCACUUUAAGUUGGGAGGAAGGGCAGUAAGUUAAUACCUUGCUGUUUUGACGUUACCAACAGAAUAAGCACCGGCUAACUUCGUG